rnacentral:rRNA from 1 species
AGAGUGAACGCUGGCGGUAGGCCUAACACAUGCAAGUCGAACGGCAGCACGGUAAGAGCUUGCUCUUAUGGGUGGCGAGUGGCGGACGGGUGAGGAAUACAUCGGAAUCUACCUUUUGGUGGGGGAUAACGUAGGGAAACUUACGCUAAUACCGCAUACGCCCUUCGGGGGAAAGCCGGGACCAGCAAUGGCCUGGCGCUGAUAGAUGAGCCGAUGUCGGAUUAGCUAGUUGGUGAGGUAUGGCUCACCAAGGCGACGAUCCGUAAGCUGGUCUGAGGAGGAUGAUCAGCCACACUGGAACUGAGACCUACGGUCCAGACCUCCGUACGGGAGCAGCAGGUGGGAAUUGUAGGACAAGU